rnacentral:rRNA from 1 species
UACGUAGGGGGGCUAGCGUUGUCCGGAUUUAUUGGGCGUAAAGAGCGUGUAGGCGGCCAGGUAGGUCUGCUGUGAAAACUCGAGGCUCAACCUCGAGACGUCGGCGGAAACCAUCUGGCUAGAGUCCGGAAGAGGAGAGUGGAAUUCCUGGUGUAGCGGUGAAAUGCGCAGAUAUCAGGAAGAACACCCGUGGCGAAGGCGGCUCUCUGGGACGGUACUGACGCUGAGACGCGAAAGCGUGGGGAGCGAACAGG